rnacentral:rRNA from 1 species
AAUAGAUACCCUGGUAGUCCACGCCGUAAACGAUGAGUGCUAAGUGUUAGGGGGUUUCCGCCCCUUAGUGCUGCAGCUAACGCAUUAAGCACUCCGCCUGGGGAGUACGGUCGCAAGACUGAAACUCAAAGGAAUUGACGGGGGCCCGCACAAGCGGUGGAGCAUGUGGUUUAAUUCGAAGCAACGCAAAGAACCUUACCAGGUCUUGACAUCCCAUUGACCACUAUGGAGACAUAGUUUUCCCUUCGGGGACAACGGUGACAGGUGGUGCAUGGUUGUCGUCAGCUCGUGUCGUGAGAUAUUGGGUUAAGUCCCGCAACGAGCGCAACCCUUGUUCUUAGUUGCCAUCAUUUAGUUGGGCACUCUAAGGAGACUGCCGGUGACAAACCGGAGGAAGGUGGGGAUGACGUCAAAUCAUCAUGCCCCUUAUGACCUGGGCUACACACGUGCUACAAUGGACGGUACAAACGGUUGCCAACCCGCGAGGGGGAGCUAAUCCGAUAAAACCGUUCUCAGUUCGGAUUGUAGGCUGCAACUUGCCUACA